rnacentral:rRNA from 1 species
CCGGGUGAGUAACACGUAUCCAACCUGCCGUCUACUCUUGGACAGCCUUCUGAAGGAAGAUUAAUACAAGAUGGCAUCAUGAGUUCACAUGUUCACAUGAUUAAAGGUAUUCCGGUAGACGAUGGGGAUGCGUUCCAUUAGAUAGUAGGCGGGGUAACGGCCCACCUAGUCUUCGAUGGAUAGGGGUUCUGAGAGGAAGGUCCCCCACAUUGGAACUGAGACACGGUCCAA